AUUGAACGCUGGCGGCGUGCCUAACACAUGCAAGUCGAGCGGCAGCGCGGGAGCAAUCCUGGCGGCGAGCGGCGGACGGGUGAGUAACGCUUGGGAAUCUGCCUGUUAGUGGGGGACAACCCGGGGAAACUCGGGCUGAUACCGCAUACGCACUACGGUGGAAAGCCGGGGACCGCAAGGCCUGGCGCUAACAGAUGAGCCCAAGUCGGAUUAGCUAGUUGGUAGGGUAACGGCCACCAAGGCGACGAUCCGUAACUGGUCUGAGAGGACGACCAGUCACACCGGAACUGAGACACGGUCCGGACUCCUACGGGAGGCAGCAGUGGGGAAUAUUGGACAAUGGGGGAAACCCUGAUCCAGCGACGCCGCGUGGGUGAAGAAGGCCUGCGGGUUGUAAAGCCCUUUCAGUGGGGAAGAAAAGCCUCGACCUAAUACGUUGGGUCUUGACGUAACCCAUAGAAGAAGCACCGGCUAACUCUGUGCCAGCAGCCGCCGCGGUAAC
rnacentral:rRNA from 1 species